rnacentral:rRNA from 1 species
CAACCUGCCGAUGACUCGGGGAUAGCCUUUCGAAAGAAAGAUUAAUACCCGAUGGCAUAGUUCUUCCGCAUGGUGGAACUAUUAAAGAAUUUCGGUCAUCGAUGGGGAUGCGUUCCAUUAGGUUGUUGGCGGGGUAACGGCCCACCAAGCCUUCGAUGGAUAGGGGUUCUGAGAGGAAGGUCCCCCACAUUGGAACUGAGACACGGUCCAAACUCCUACGGGAGGCAGCAGUGAGGAAUAUUGGUCAAUGGACGAGAGUCUGAACCAGCCAAGUAGCGUGAAGGAUGACUGCCCUAUGGGUUGUAAACUUCUUUUAUACGGGAAUAAAGUGAGGCACGUGUGCCUUUUUGUAUGUACCGUAUGAAUAAGGAUCGGCUAACUCCGUGCCAGCAGCCGCGGUAAUACGGAGGAUCCGAGCGUUAUCCGGAUUUAUUGGGUUUAAAGGGAGCGUAGGCGGACGCUUAAGUCAGUUGUGAAAGUUUGCGGCUCAACCGUAAAAUUGCAGUUGAUACUGGGUGUCUUGAGUACAGUAGAGGCAGGCGGAAUUCGUGGUGUAGCGGUGAAAUGCUUAGAUAUCACGAAGAACUCCGAUUG